UUAGCAAUAUUACUUCAUUGUUGAAUGCAGGUUCAAAUGACAUAUAUAGACACAAGAUCACAAACCACAUUCUUGGUGUUGGGACUGAUGCUUGAAAAUUUGUGGGAGAGAUGCAGAAACCAAAGCAGCUGCUUGGUGCUUCAUGCCAACCUGUCUUGGUCCUCAACUGCAAACACUAAUACAACCAGAUUGUCAAAACUGUGAUUCACAUCUCCUGUUCUUUUGGUGGAAGAAGGGACACCAAGUAUUCUAAUCUGAGUGACAAUCCAGUGCUUUUCUUUGUGCCAAGUCAAUGAAAAAAACACAAAUGAGGACAAUAAAAGCACAGAAAAAU
rnacentral:lncRNA from 1 species